rnacentral:lncRNA from 1 species
UUAUUUUAAUUAAGUAUUUUGUGUAUUUUAGGGGCAUCAUAGUCAUUUCACAAUAAACAAGAGAUCAAACGGCAAAACGGACAUCACUUUUGAACUCAGGACGGUCGAAAACCUUAGGAGGAGCAUAAAAGGAAAAAUGGCACUGUUCACAUGUAUGGUACUAUUCACAUGUACGGUACUGUCUACGUUACUGUUCACGACACUGUUCACAUAGACGGAUCGAUGACGUGGCAUUGACCGAUGAUGUGGCAUUGACUGAUGAGGUGUCAUGAUCCUAUUGGUCUAAAAUUCUUAUGAACUGUUGAUGGUGACGUGGUAGCAUAUUAGUGGACCAAAACUUGCACGUACGGUACAUGCAUUACACAGGAUUAUUUUCAACCAAACCGCGUUACUAUUCAAAGCCGGGUCAAACCGCGUUACUGUUCAAAGCCGGGUCAAACCGUGUUACUGUUCACCCACAUGGUCAAACCGUGUACUGUUGACUGAUAACGUGGCGCAAUCCUGAGCGUCCAAAUUGUUUUUAAUCCGAUGGCCAUGAUUUACUCCAUGUAUCUAUAAAAAGGGGGCCUCUCCCCUUUAAUUUGAUAUCUCUGAAUCUAUUUUUGGACUCAAUUUUCUGUAAUUCCUUCUCCAUCUUGUAUUUUCUAUGUAUUUUAAUAAAUUCCUAUUUUGCCGCUAGUUCAAUUAUGAGUAGCUAAUUUUCUUUCAAGCUUGGGUUGAAGGUGAAGUCUCAACAUGUGUCAUGGGCUUUAUUUGGUAAAUUUAUUUUCUCUUCCCCUCUAAUUUUUGUGGAUGUUUUGACUUCUCGUCGACAAAUAAUACUAAUCUUGUCUAGUACCGCCUUGGUUUCACCAGCCCCCUAGUACAAGGUUAUUAUUAUUUGGCACGAUAAGCUCUUAGCACCAUAUUGAUUAGAGCGUGGUUCAUGAGGUGUGGAUUCCCCCUUCAUGAUUUAAUUGGCAUUAAUAAGGAUUAUUUAGCCCAUGAUGCAUGUUGAUACGGAUCCAGAUACCCAAGUACGACAUUUCAAUAGAAUUCUCUUCAAUUUAUUCUCGUCAUUUCAAUUCCAAUUUUAGAAUUUAUUCUCACCAUUUUAAUUUAAGUUUUAGCAUAUUCCAAAUUAUUUCUAUCAUAAAUCCAAUCACCCAUUUACAAAAUUAAUUCUACACACAAUUAAAAUCCACCUCCUCGUGGGAUCGACACUCGUCUCCAUUAAUCUAUUCUACAAUAGAUUCGUGCGCUUGCGAGUACAUUAAAAUUUGCACAACAAGUUUUUGGCGCCGUUGCCGGGGAGGUAAGUAAUUUUAAUUCAUAGAAUUAAUUUUUGUGAAUAAUUUCUUUUAAUUAUUUUCUUGUAAUUUUUUUAUUAAAAAAAAUGAAUAUACAUUUAAAGGUUAGUAUUUCUUUUCUUUUUCUCCUCUUUAAAAUUCUAUAAUUUAAUUUUCAAUUUAUUUUUCUUUGUAAUUUUUUUGUUUAUCUUAUUAAUUUAUUUUUAGUUAAUUUAUUUCACAUAUUUGUUUUUGUGUAUUUUUUAUAGUAAGGUUGUAAUAGCGCAAUAAAGUUAGUAUUGUAAUUUCUCCCUCUUCUUUAUUUUUAUUUUUUUUGGUCCCAUCUUUAUUUUUUUUAUUUGUUUUGUUCCCAUCUUUAUUUUUUUUAUUUGUUUUGCAUGUAUGGUCGAAGGUCAUUAUUACCUAAUCUUGAACCUAUAGACCUUGAACUUGAGAAAACACUUCGCACACACAAAUAAGUUAAAAAUAAAAUGGAUUUGCAACCACAGGAGAGGCAAUUUAAGGACUACUUCAGUCUUUUAGCUAAUUUGAGUACAUCAUGUAUAAGAUACCCAAAUGUAGCUGCUAGGAGUUUUGAACUAAAACAUAGUGUGCUAAAUUGUCUCCCAACAUUCUAUGGCCUAGAAAAUGAGGACCCAUAUAAUCAUUUGAAUGAUUUUCAUGCUAUUUGUCAAACAUUUAAAUAUGAGAAUUUUUCAGAUGAUGAUGUAAAACUUAGACUUUUCCCGUUUUCUUUAAAGGAUAGAGCUCGCUCAUGGCUUAAUACAUUGCCUGCUAAUAGCAUUGCAUCAUAGGAACAAAUGGUAACUAAAUUUUUGAAUAAAUAUUUCCCAGUGUAUAAAACCAAUGCUAUUCGUAGGGAAAUCUCAGAGUUUACCCAGAGAGAGGACGAGCAAUUUUUUGAAACAUGGGAGCGAUUUAAUGGGCUACUCUUGAAGUGUCCACAUCAUGGGUAUGAGAAAUGGCACCAAUGCCAAUACUUUUUGGAGGGAUUAUUGCCGAAUGUGCAAGAAUGGCUAAUGGCAACAAGUGGAGGAGAGCUAAUGUCAAAAAGUGCAUAAGAGAUUUGGGAAUUCUUCGAGCGACAAGCGGAUAAUUCCCAACAACGGAGUCGAUCACUCAGGAAUACUAGAAGAAUUAAAGGAGUGAAUGAGGUUCACAUUGGAGAGUCAACUCCAGGAAUCAAAGAAGUCAAGGAGAUGGUUGAAGGUCUUACUCGACAAAUAGCAUCGUUAUCGACUGCUAAAUCAACAGAACCAUAUGACCAUGACUCAUACUCAGAUCAAGCCAAUGCCAUAGGUGUAAUGAGAAAACCAUCGAAUUACAACCCAUACUCCAACACAUAUAACCCUGGAUGGAGAGACCACCCCAAUUUUUCAUGGUCUCAAGGAUUCCAACAGAAUGGACCAGCAGCUCCAGCUCCACUAAUUCCUCAAAUUCCUCAAGCCUCUCAGCCACCAUUCAGACCAUACAAUCAAAACCAGAACCACUCUCAACCUAGACCAUGGGAGGAUGCAUUCCAGAAUUUCAAGAAUGUUACUCACUCCACGAUUGAGCAACAGAACCGCACCAUUGAUGGACUACGAAAUGAUUUGAGAGCAGGCUUCAACUCACAAGCUCAAUCAGUUUCAAGCCUCGAGAAGAUGGUGGGACAACUUGCUUCUUCAGUUCAGACCUUGGCAAUGACUGUUGAGAAAGGCAAGUUUCCAAGUCAACCAGUGCCUAAUCCUAAAGGAGUACAUGAAGCAAGUACCAGUUCACCACAGCAGCAUGGAGAGGUCAAAACAGUCAUGACCUUGCGAAAAGGAAAAGAAGUCGACAACAAAGUGGAGAUGCCCGUGACAAAAGAAAAUCAAAUUGUACCUGUGAAUGUUGAGGACUCAUCACCGGAUGAGAAAGAAGAAACCAACCCAUGAGAAUACGUUCCCAAAGCUCCAUUUCCUCAGAGGUUAGCUAAAGGAAAAAAAGGAAAAUCCACAGAUGAGAUUCUUGAAAUCUUCAAACAGGUAAGUGUUAACAUCCCUUUACUUGAUGCUAUUAAACAAGUUCCAUCUUAUGCCAAGUUUCUUAAAAACCUUUGUACUAAAAAGAGAAGCAUUCAUGUUCAAAAGAAGGCAUUUUUAACAGAAAACGUUAGUUCUAUACUCCAACAUAAAAUUCCUCUAAAAUGCAAAGACCCAGGCUCCCUCACUAUCUCAUGUAGCAUAGAGAACCACACAAUUGAGAAUGCUUUGUUGAAUUUAGGAGCUAGUGUAAAUCUAUUGCCUUACUCAGUAUUUUUGAAACUUGGACUUGGAGAAUUACACCCAACUCCAGUGGUGUUACAGCUUGCAGAUCGGUCCACGAAAAUACCUCGUGGUAUUGUGGAGGACGUGCUUAUCCAGGUAGACAAGUUUUAUUUUCCUGUUGAUUUCAUUGUAAUUGACACUCACCAAUACAGGACUCAAAUAAGCACAUCCCCAUUAUUCUAGGCUGACCUUUCUUGGCAACUGCCGAUGCCCACAUUCAAUGCAGGACUGGAAAUAUGCAGUUGUCCUUCGGCAACAUGACUAUGGAACUAAACAUUUUCAAUAUUGCCAAACAACCUCACAGUGCAGAUGAUGGAAUUGUUGAUAUGGAUUUAAUAGAAACAAUAGUUGAUAAUACUUUUCUUUCAAACCUUAGUGAUGAUUCUUUACAAACAUGUUUAACUCACUUUGGUUUAGAUUUUGAUAUUGACAGAUCAGUCGAUGAGAUCAAUGCCCUACUUGACUCAGCACCAUCCAUGGACAUUAAUAAAUGGAAGUCAAGAGUUGAACAAGUAGCACCAUCAGAGAAGAAACUCAUCCCAUCAUCAGAAUCACCACCAAACCAUUGCCCAACACUCUGGAAUAUGCAUUUUUGGGAGAAAAUAGUACUCUGUCGGUAAUCAUCUCAUCAUCCCUAAAUGACAAACAAAAAGGUAAGUUGUUGGAUGUUUUAAAAGAGCACAAAGGAGCAUUAGGAUGGACCAUAGUAGACAUUAAAGGUAUAAAUCCAGUAGACUGCAUGCAUUACAUUCACCUUGAUGAAAAUGCUAAAUCUACUAGGGAAAUGCAACGUCGGUUAAAUCCUAAUAUGAAAGAAGUUGUUAGAACAGAAGUCCUUAAGCUAUUAGAUGCAGGUAUCAUUUACCCAAUUUCUGAUAGUUCAUGGGUCAGUCCUGUACAAGUUGUUCCCAAAAAGUCAGGAGUCACAGUAGUUACGAAUGUUGAUAAUGAAUGGAUACCCACUAGAGUGACCACAGGAUGGCGUGUAUUCAUUGAUUAUAGAAAGUUAAAUUUUGUCACACGUAAAGACCAUUUUUCUUUACCAUUUAUUGAUCAAAUGCUUGAUAGAUUAGCAGGCCAUGAAUUUUAUUGCUUUCUAGAUGGCUACUCAAGAUACAAUCAGAUCCCCAUAGCACCAAAAGAUCAAGAGAAAACCACUUUCACUUGCCCUUUUGGCACAUUUACAUAUAAGAGAAUGCCAUUUGGAUUAUGUAAUGCACCUGCUACAUUUCAACGAAGCAUGCUAAGCAUUUUUUCUGAUAUGGUUGAAUGAUUUCUUGAAGUAUUUAUGGAUGACUUUUCUGUCUUUGGUGAUUUGUUUGAUCAAUGUUUACAUCAUCUAACACUAGGUCUGCAGAGAUGUAUCGAGAAGAACUUGGUCUUAAAUUGGGAGAAAUGUCAUUUUAUGGUAAAAUAAGGUAUUGUUCUCGGUCACAUCAUUUUGAGCAAAGGUAUUGAGGUUGACAAAGCCAAGGUGGAUCUCAUUUCUAAUCUUCCUCCACCCAAAACAGUCAGAGAAGUAAGAUCUUUCCUUGGGCAUGCCGGUUUCUAUAGACAUUUCAUUAAAGAUUUUAGCAAAGUUUCUAGACCCUUAUGCAAUUUACUUGCUAAGGAUGUACCUUUUAUCUUUGAUGAUUCAUGUCUUGUGGCAUUUGAAAAUCUAAAGCAGUUGUUGACAUCAUCACCCAUCAUUCAGCCCCCAAACUGGAGCUUACCAUUUGAGCUCAUGUGUGAUGCAUCUGAUUAUGUAGUAGGAGCAGUAUUAGGACAAAGAGUUGAUCGAAUUCCCCAUGUUAUUUACUAUGCUAGUAUGACAUUAAAUGAUACACAGUUGAACUAUUCAACUACUGAAAAAGAAAUGCUAGCAAUAGUGUUUGUAUUACAGAAAUUUCGAUCUUAUCUCAUUGGUUGUAAAAUAAUUAUAUUCACAGAUCAUGCUGCUCUUAAAUUUCUUCUCACAAAGAAAGAUGCAAAAGCUAGACUAAUUUGUUGGGUGUUACUUUUACAGGAAUUUGACUUGGAAUUCAAAGAUAAGAAAGGCACAGAGAAUGUUAUGGCAGAUCAUCUCUCUCGUCUCCAUUUUGACACAAUUACAGAAUCAUUACCAUUAAAUGAGUCAUUUCCAGAUGAACAAUUAAUGAGUGUGGAAGUAUUACCUUGGUAUGCUGAUAUAGUUAAUUAUCUUGUUACAGGUAAACUUCCAGAGCAUUGGACCAAGCAAGACAAGACCAAUUUUUUUGCGGAAAUAAAGAAUUUCUUUUGGGAUGACCCUUAUUUGUUCAAGUAUUGUGCAGAUUAAAUUGUUAGACGAUGUGUCCCAGAAAAUAAAAUUCAGAAUAUCCUUUCAUUCUGCCAUGAACAAGCUUGUGGAGGCCAUUUUAGUGCUAAGAAAACAGCGACUAAAGUUUUACAAUGUGGUUUCUAUUGGCCAACUAUAUUUCGAGACGCUUACACUUUUUGUUCUUCAUGUGAUAGGUGUCAACGAAUGGGGAGUAUUACGCGAAGGAAUAUGAUGCCACUAAAUCCAAUUUUAGUGGUUGAGAUUUUUUAUGUAUGGGGUAUCGACUUCAUGGGAUCCUUUCCCCCUUCUUUUGGCCAUCAAUACAUAUUGGUUGCUGUUAACUACGUAUCGAAAUGGGUAGAAGCAAUUCCAUGCAGAACCAAUGAUCACAAGGUGGUGAUAGCAUUUUUGAAAAGCAACAUUGUUUCACGCUUUGGAUUCCCUUGAGCAAUAAUCAGUGACGGUGGUGCCCACUUUUGUAACAAAGCAUUCAAACCUCUUUUGACAAAGUAUUCCAUCACUCACAAAGUGGCGACCCCAUAUCAUCCGCAAACCAGUGGCCAAGUUGAGAUCUCCAAUCGAGAAAUAAAGCACAUAUUAGAAAAGACGGUGAGGCUAGACAGAAAAGAUUGGUCAUUAAGACUUGAUGAUGCAUUAUGGGCAUAUAGAACGGCUUUCAAGACCCCGAUUGGGAUGUCACCCUACAGGUUAGUGUAUGGAAAAGCUUGCCACCUACCUGUGGAACUCGAGCAUCAUGCGUAUUGGGCCAUCAAGAAAUUUAACUUUGACAUGCAGCAAGCCAGCUCAGAAAGAAUAUUACAACUGGUAGAACUUGAAGAAAUUCGCAAUGACGCAUACGAAAAUGCCAAGAUUUACAAGCAACUAACGAAAGUCUUCCAUAACAAGCAAAUUAUGAGAAAAUCGUUCACUCCAGGUCAGAAAGUGCUUUUAUUCAAUUUUUGCUUGCACCUAUUCCCAAGUAAGUUACGCUCUCGUUGGUCUGGCCUAUUUAUUGUACAUACUGUUUUUCCAUAUGGGGCAAUUGAAAUUAAGGACCCAAAGAACGGUGUCACGUUUAAAGUUAAUAGUCAAAGAUUAAAGCCAUAUCUAGAGUACCAACCACAUGGAGAAAACACCGAAAUAAAUUUGAGUGACCCACCAGAUUUGAAUUGAUUUUUUUUCUUUUCGUUGAUUUGAUUUUUCUUUCUUUCUUUUUAUUAUUCUUUUGCUAAUUGAAAUUAUUUUUGCAUAAGUGUGUUUGUUUAACUAUUAAGUUUUCUCUUAUCAUUUUUAAUCAUGAGUACCAUACUUAGACCGUUCCUCCUGAACAUUCUUAAACCCUUCAACGUGUCAAAACUCAUCUCAUAAGGCAGAUUCAAUUUUGUAAAACACAUCGUAUUUGGGCUCUACAACCACCAGAGUUAGUAGCCUAUGUUGAGGGUUUAGAAAGCUAACUCAGAGACAUUGAGAGAAGUGUUUACAACAUCCAGUUGGAGCUUGAGGUAAAUUCAAUAAGAGGACGAAUUUAAUUUUCUUUGUGUGUUUUAAUUUGUUUUUCUGUUUGUGUGCUUUAGUUUGUUACCCCGGUGAAGUGGCGGAUAACGGUACUCCAUGGCAAUCAAGUCGGUUACUUCAGUUUCCCAUAAUAACUGAUAUUCUGAAGCAAAGGUAUGGACAGAAAUGAGACUCUAGCGACGCUUCACAAGCGAUUCCCUUCACUUCCUCAGAAUGCCCUCCUUACGAUCUAUAAAGCUCGGUCCGAACGCAUGCGAUUACUCACGAGGAAUAACAUACCUGAUGACAUCCGUUGGUUAAUCGAGGCUAAAGUACGAUCGGCAGGUGAGUUACCUCCAAAAUUUAUUGCAUACAUGCCUGGUUGUGGUAAAGGAAAUUAUGCAAGAAAACGACGAGCUCAAAGAAUUUCUGUUGCUUGUCAUAAGUGUGCCAGAAUGAGUUGUAAUAAAAACCCAUGUUCUUUAGGAAUGGUGUCUGAUAACAGGGAAGAUAAGAUUCAAUUCAUUAGGGAUGACUUGAAUAAGGAGUCAUUGGAUGAUAUCCUUUUGACUCUUGAAACGCAUCCCAGUGGAUAUGUGCAAGGAGCGAUUCUCCAGUUAUGGCCAUUAUUUCAGAAAGAGCAUGCACGAUAUAGUCUCAGGAAUCUGACUAUAAACGACCCUGUGUGCUAGUUUAUAAGAAAACUAGAUAGGAAGCCUAUCCUCGACCCAUAGAGGGCAUUCAAGCCGUUUCUGGACGUAAAACCAGAGGAAGAUGUGAGCCACAGUCGCAACUACCUGUAAAUAUCCUUUCACUUUACUGUUAUUUUAUUUCACUAUUGUUUUAUUGUGUGCAUUAUUGUCUUUAAUAAUUUUAUUACUGUUUGCUUUUUCCUUAUUACUGUUUACUUUUUCUUUUUUACUGUUUCCUUUUUUACUAGCGAGCCACGUGCUUUACGCGUUAUUUGACACUGACAUGUUACCUCAUACACAACUGUGACCCACUGUCACUAAGACUCUUAAAUGUGAUUUUUUUUGUCAAGCACUCACAAAUUAUUUUUUUGAGAAAUAUCACAAUGGCAGCUACUCCAAAUAGACAAUUUAAGAACAUUUGUGUGCUUUCUGGAUUUACCUAUGGCAAACAUAAAGAGUUCGUUGAGGCAGCCAUCGAUCUUGGUCGAAGUAUAGCAGAGAGAAAAUUACACUUGGUGUAUGGAGGAGGUAACCGAGGGUUAUCAAAAAUGGUCUCUGAAGCAGCUUUUGUCAGAGGAAGUCAAGUGUUAGGCAUCAUCCCAAGAGUCCUAAAACCAUUGGGCAGUUCGUCUGACUCAUCAACUAGAGAAGAGUUAGUCGUCUCAGGUAUGCAAGAAAGAAUAACUGAAAUGCUUCAUCAUGCUGAUGCUUUUAUUUUCCUUCCAGGAGAUCUUGCAACACUAGAGGCACUUAUCACACUAGCAUCUUGGGCCCAUCUGCACAUCCACCAGAAACUCAUCGGUUUGUUAAAUAUCAAUAACUUUUAUGAUGGCUUUAUCGCAUUUCUUAACCAUGCAAUAGAAAACUAUUUCAUUCCCUCUAAUGCGAAAAAACUCUUUAUUUGUGCUCACACUGCUAAUGAGCUACUUGAUCUGUUACAAGCUUAUAGACCGGAGCCAGACCCCUGGACCUUUGUGUUGGAGCAUCUAAAUAAUGAUGGUAAUAGUAGCCACAGUAAGAAGUACAAAUUAGAUUUAACUCUCCGCUUGUAAAUAUUUUCUUCAGUGUUACACCACCCAGGUGAUGUCUUCUAAACUCUACUUUCAAACAUUGAGGACAAUGUUUCAUUCUGGUUGGGGGGAGGGAAUAGUCGACAAUUGUGGAAUCUUUGUUAAGUUUUUACUGAUUUUUUGUUGUAGAAACUAACUGUUUCUAACUUUUUGUGUUGAAGAUGGCUGAAUAUGGAGUGUAGUUACUCUAUAAACGCAUCUUCAUCGUUUAAAAAAAAAUAAAAAACAAUUCAAAAAAAAAUUUAGACAUUUUCUUUUUCUUUAUUAAGUUUUGAUUUUCAUUUUUCUUAUUCUUUUUAAUUUGAGUCGAAGAUGACUGAAUACGGAGUGUAGUGCCUCUAGAAACGCAUCUUCUUAGUUAAAAAAAAAACAUUUCUUUUUCUAAUUAAUUUUUCUACAUCAUUUUCACAUUUCUGCAUGCAUUUUUUCCUUUCAUGUUUAGAAUAGGUUGGGGGUAGAAUGUUGUUUAAAAAAAAAAUUGUGUUAUUUGUUUUAACAUUGGAUGACAUGAUUAAUUUCAAAUUUUAGUAUUUGUAUUAUCUUUGGUCUUAAGUGAUAUUACGCUAUGUUUGCUACUUUAUAUGUUGAUGUCGGAGACAAAUAUGAGUUGCUUGAAGGAAUGAACAUCUCAUAAAUAAGUGUCAAGUGAGUUUUUGAGCCUAUCAUUUUUCUUGAAGAGUAACCAUUUUGCCCAUUCUUUAUACAGCUUAGCAGUUUAUUAUUUUAUAUAUGACCUCUAGAUUUCUUUUGAGUUAACCCUUAAAAAAAUUAUAAAAAAAAAAAAGAAAAAGAAAAAAAUGUGUGUUGCUAUAUUGGGAAGCCCAUCUAACUAGUAGAUAUGGAUGAUUAUUUAGAGCCCUAAAAGACGAUGGAAAGGCCAUCUUUGAUCCGUUUGAGCCUUUCUAGCCAUCCCUUUUAUUAAAUAUCCAUAGUUAACCCUUUUGAGCCUUUAAAAAAAACAAAAACCUUUUCUUUGUCAACUUAUCAUCUUGACCCACUCCGGUUUGGAGUAUUACCCAAUAUCUUAUAAGUUCCAUCACCUAUUUAUGUUUGAGAAAAUGUAAAUAAUUAUUUUGUUCGUGAAGUUAUGCCAAAUAAUUUUUUUCUCAAACAUACACUUUGUUUUCCCUAUUUCCCUUCUUUGUUAGCCAUGUCCAUAGCCUACGUUACGUCCUAAUAAAAGUCCUUCUUGAUUUUAGGGAACUAUAGUUUGAAGUAGAAGCUAGUUAUAUGGGCUAAAAAGAUGUAGUGGUGCAUAAUAAUAAAAAAAAGAGAUAAAUAAAAUGGGUUGACUAGUAUUUUUGUUUGACUUGAGAUCGUAUUAUUUCUAAGCUGAGGGCAUCUUUCUUUCAUCUUGGUGAGAGCAUGUGAUAUCACUUCUUUAUUAUUUUCUCUCUCAAGUACCAUUCAUUGGAGUGAUUAUUUUUAUUGGGUUUAAUUUCUUUGUGAGAGUGUCACUACUUCCAGUGAGGUUUUGGGGUUUGACAUGUCAUUCUUAAAAGUAGCUAUGACAAUCUACUAGGCUGAUUCAUGUGGAUGGUUGAUGUGGGUGUGAUGUUGCUUUAGACUGGAGAUAAUGCUUAUACUUUUAUUUCAUUGCUAUCAUUAGUCUGAUUGAAUAAACAAGAUUGUUAAAAAAAAAAAAUUGUGUUUGAAUUUUGUUUUCGCUUUAUUUGCUAGGGACUAGCAAUAAGCUGGUUGGGAGGUGUGUUGAGUGUUAGAAAAUGUAUAUUUAUAAUGGAGAAAAUCGUCAUUUUACAUUUCAAGUCUUACUAACAACCCUUACUUUUAUGUAUUUAAGGUUCUUGUAAUUUAAUUAUGUGUGUUUUAUUUUAAUUAAGUAUUUUGUGUAUUUUAGGGGAAUCAUAGUCAUUUCACAUAAACGAGAUAUCAAUGGCAAAACGGACAUCACUUUUGANNNNNNNNNNNNNNNNNNNNNNNNNNNNNNNNNNNNNNNNNNNNNNNNNNNNNNNNNNNNNNNNNNNNNNNNNNNNNNNNNNNNNNNNNNNNNNNNNNNNGGACGGUCGAAAACCUUAGGAGGAGCAUAAAAGGAAAAAUGGCACUGUUCACAUGUACGGUACUAUUCACAUGUAUGGUACUGUCUACGUUACUGUUCACGACACUGUUCACAUAGACGGAUCGAUGACGUGGCAAUGACCGAUGAUGUGGCAUUGACUAAUGAGGUGUCAUGAUCCUGUUGGUCUAAAAUUCUUAUGAACUGUUGAUGGUGACGUGGCAGCAUAUUAGUGGACUAAAACUUGCGCAUACGGUACAUGCAUUACACAGGACUAUUUUCAACCAAACCGCGUUACUGUUCAAAGCCGGGUCAAACCGUGUUACUGUUCACCCGCGUGGUCAAACCGUGUACUGUUGACUGAUGAUGUGGCUCAAUCCUGAGCGUCCAAACUGUUUUUAAUCCGAUGGCCAUGAUUUACUCCAUGUAUCUAUAAAAAGGGGGCCUCUCCCCCCCAAUUUGAUAUCUCUGAAUCCAUUUUUGCACUCCCUUUUCUGUAAUUCCUUCUCCAUCUUGUAUUUUCUAUGUAUUUUAAUAAAUUCCUAUUUUGCCCCUAGUUCAAUUAUGAGUAGCUAAUUUUCUUUCAAGCUUGGGUUGAAGGUGAAGUCUCAACAUGUGUCAUGGGCUUUAUUUGGUAAAUUUAUUUUCUCUUCCCCUCUAAUUUUUGUGGAUGUUUUGACUUCUCGUCGACAAAUAAUACUAAUCUUGUCUAGUACCGCCUUGGUUUCACCGGCCCCCUAGUACAAGGUUAUUAUUAUUUGGCACGAUAAGCCCUUAGCACCGUAUUGAUUAGAGCGUGGUUCAUGAGGUGUGGAUUCCCCCCUCAUGAUUUAAUUGGCAUUAAUAAGGAUUAUUUAGCCCAUGAUGCAUGUUGAUACGGAUCCAGAUACCCAUGUACGACAUUUCAAUAGAAUUCUCUUCAAUUUAUUUCUCGCCAUUUCAAUUCCAAUUUUAGAAUUUAUUCUCGCCAUUUUAAUUUAAGUUUUAGCAUAUUCCAAAUUAUUUCUAUCACAAAUCCAAUCACCCAUUUACAAAAUUAAUUCUACACACAAUUAAAAUCCACCUCCUCGUGGGAUCGACACUCGUCUCCAUUAAUCUAUUCUACAAUAUAUUCGUGCGCUUGCGAGUACAUUAAAAUUUGCACAACAUACACCCAUUUUGUUUUUGUAUAAGUUGUUGUAUUUUCAUUAGUCUUUAACAUUGAUGUCUAUUGUUGUCUUAAAAAGCAAAAAAGUCAAAAGAUUUUAAGAUUUUGUACAUAAUUUUUUAAUUGUUUCAAAUUUUAAUACUCGACACAUGAUUUCAAAGUCUUUCAAAUAUUUAUAUUUUUGUCAAUUGACCUAAUUUGAGUAUUAAAAUUAGUGGUAGGAUAAGAGAGACUGGGAAGUAAUUUUUUUUUUAGGGAAAUAAAACUUCAUUAAGCAGAUAACUUAGAAAUCAACCACGGGGGUGGAACAUGCCUCCACUCCCCCGGAGCUGACAAAGAAUACCCCACCCGAGCAAUAGAAUGAGCAGCAGAGUUCGCAGAUCGCCUAACAAAAGAGAAAGUAACAUCUCCUAAAGAUUGAGCAAGAGCUCUACAAUCGUCAAUAAUAAGACCGAAACCAUUAGGACCAAAACUAUUAGUAGUCAAAGCAUUGAAAACUUGAAAGCUGUCCAUUUCAACAAUGAUAGGAAAGACGGGUAAUCCCUUGAGCCAGCUGAGG